CUUUGACUUUGUUUUUACAAGGCUGCAUGAUUUUCACCGUUUUUGUAACGGCACAUUUGCUUUGAGCCUUUAAAGUACGGCGGCCCAGACGCGACAGCAAAAAACAGUUUUUGUAUUUUUUUAUUUUUUAUUUUUUUAUUUUUUUAUUUUUACAUUUUUUUAUUUUUACAUUUUUUUAUUUUUUUAUUUUUGUAUUUUUUAAUUUUCUAAUUUUCUAAUUUUUAAUUGUUA